GCUAGGAUGAGGCCUGUGUCGUCCAAGUGAGGUACGUCUCCUGUAUCACACUGCCAUUUCUUGGUUUUGAGACCUGUACGCGGGACUGUCCCUCUGGGCCUUAGUUUUUUCCUCAGCAAAAUGAGAUGGUGGUGAGUCGGCCUCCGGCAGGCUCGGCAGUGUCAGGGCCGCGCGUCACCGAAAACCCCAGUUCAAGCCCUUUUCUCAGUUGUUACUUCACAUAACAAGAGGCAGAAGAGGAUGCCCCUGAAGCAAAGUGCAAUCAGCAUUCGAUGAUCCGAUGUCAUCAGAAGCCCAGCAAAGAAGAGUCUUGGUCCAAACUCCUGAUCCUGUCAUUCAAGGCCUGACCAUCUCUCCUGGAGCUCAUCAGCACAAACCCUUAUCUGCUUUUAGGCAGAUCAUGAGAACAUGCCUGAUGAAGCCCUUGUCCCACCUCUGCCCCCCUUCCAGGCCUGUCUGCUCAGCUGCACCUUCAACCAACCUUCAAGGCAGAAGUUCACCCCAUAGAGCUCCCCCCCUCCUGACACACCCCUAUAAGGCUUUCCUCCUUCCUUGAAUAAAUGCACUACCCAAUCCUGUC
rnacentral:lncRNA from 1 species